AGUGGGCGGGGCUCUCCUCCUGCUCUGUGUUCAACAUUCAGUCAAUAAGAAGUGGUGCUGUGAAGAGAACAAUUGUCAGAGUGAAUGUUGAACAUCAGCUAGUUUCUCCUGUUGAUUGAAACCUUGUUGUACAGAUGGAACAUUGGCUGUGGAUUCUUCUUGCUGCUCUUUUCUUUGAGUGUAAAGGAGAAGACAAAGUGAUCCAACCAGGAGGAGAAGUCAUUGCUGCUGAAGGAGACUCUGUCACACUCAGCUGUACCUUUGAGACCAGUGAUGCAUAUGCUUAUUUGUUCUGGUACAAACAAGAAGUGAACAGUUACCCAAAGUACAUGUUGAAACGUGACACCUAUGGAACAGAAGAAAACGCUCCAGAGUUCAAGGAAGACAGAUUUGAUGCUGAAUUCAAAGACAAAUCAGUUCCCCUAAAGAUCCAUAAUCAUCAUGUGUCAGACUCUGCUG